AAUCAACGCUGGCGGCGUGCCUCAGACAUGCAAGUCGAACGAUUAAGACUUCCUUCGGGAAGUGCAUAAAGUGGCGCACGGGUGAGUAACACGUAAGUAAUCUACCCUCGAGUGGGGAAUAACGUUCGGAAACGGACGCUAAUACCGCAUAACGCAGCGGCACCGCAAGGUGACAGUUGUUAAAGGAGUAAUUCGCUUGAGGAGGAGCUUGCGGCAGAUUAGCUUGUUGGUAAGGAACGGCUUACCAAGGCUACGAUCUGUAUCCGGUCUAAGAGGACGGUCGGACACACUGACACUGAAUAACGGGUCAGACUCCUACGGGA
rnacentral:rRNA from 1 species